rnacentral:rRNA from 1 species
CCUACGGGAGGCAGCAGUGAGGAAUAUUGGUCAAUGGGCGCAAGCCUGAACCAGCCAUGCCGCGUGCAGGAUGACGGUCCUAUGGAUUGUAAACUGCUUUUGUACAGGAAGAAACACUCCCUCGUGAGGGAGCUUGACGGUACUGUAAGAAUAAGGAUCGGCUAACUCCGUGCCAGCAGCCGCGGUAAUACGGAGGAUCCAAGCGUUAUCCGGAAUCAUUGGGUUUAAAGGGUCCGUAGGCGGUUUUAUAAGUCAGUGGUGAAAUCUGGUCGCUCAACGAUCAAACGGCCAUUGAUACUGUAAGACUUGAAUUACUUGGAAGUAACUAGAAUAUGUAGUGUAGCGGUGAAAUGCUUAGAGAUUACAUGGAAUACCAAUUGCGAAGGCAGGUUACUACAAGUAUAUUGACGCUGAUGGACGAAAGCGUGGGGAGCGAACAGGAUUAGAUACCCUGGUAGUCCACGCCGUAAACGAUGGAUACUAGCUGUUUGGAGCAAUCUGAGUGGCUAAGCGAAAGUGAUAAGUAUCCACCUGGGGAGUAACGGCUCGCAAGAGUUGAAACUUAAAUUGAAUUGACGG